rnacentral:rRNA from 1 species
CCUACGGGCGGCAGCAGUGAGGAAUAUUGGUCAAUGGACGAGAGUCUGAACCAGCCAAGUAGCGUGAAGGAUGACUGCCCUAUGGGUUGUAAACUUCUUUUAUACGGGGAUAAACCGAGGCACGUGUACCUUUUUGCAUGUACUUUAUGAAUAAGGAUCGGCUAACUCCGUGCCAGCAGCCGCGGUAAUACGGAGGAUCCGAGCGUUAUCCGGAUUUAUUGGGUUUAAAGGGAGCGUAGAUGGGUUGUUAAGUCAGUGGUGAAAUUCUGCGGCUCAACCGUAAAAUUGCAAUUGAUACUGGCAGUCUUGAGUAUAGUUGAGGUAGGCGGAAUUCGUGGUGUAGCGGUGAAAUGCUUAGAGAUCACGAAGAACCCCGAUUGCGAAGGCAGCUUACUAAACUGUGACUGACAUUGAUGCUCGAAAGCGUGGGUAUCAAACAGGAUUAGAUACCCCGGUAGUC